rnacentral:miRNA from 2 species
GGAAUGUUGUCUGGUCCGAG